GAUAAACGCUGGCGGCGUGCCUAACACAUGCAAGUCAAACGAUCCCGCAAGGGAGAGUGGCGGAAGGGUGAGUAACACGUGGGAAUCUACCUCCUCGCAGGGAACAACCUCUCGAAAGAGAGGCUAAUACCCAAAAGGGUCAGAAAUGAUCAGAGUCGAAAGGCGUGAGGAGAGGAGCCCGCGGCCCAUCAGCUAGUUGGUGAGGUAAUGGCUUACCAAGGCUACGACGGGUAGGGGAUCUGAGAGGAUGUCCCCCACACUGGAACUGAAACACGGUCCAGACGCCUACGGGUGGCAGCAGUGAGGAAUAUUGGACAAUGGGCGAAAGCCCGAUCCAGCAACGCCGCGUGGAGGAUGAAGGCCUUCGGGUCGUAAACUUCUUUAGAGGGAGACGAGAAAGGACGGUAUCCCUAGAAUAAGCGACGGCAAACUACGUGCCAGCAGCCGCGGUAAU
rnacentral:rRNA from 1 species